rnacentral:rRNA from 1 species
UUGAACGCUGGCGGCAGGCCUAACACAUGCAAGUCGAACGGUAACAGGAAGAAGCUUGCUUCUUUGCUGACGAGUGGCGGACGGGUGAGUAAUGUCUGGGAAACUGCCUGAUGGAGGGGGAUAACUACUGGAAACGGUAGCUAAUACCGCAUAACGUCGCAAGACCAAAGAGGGGGACCUUCGGGCCUCUUGCCAUCGGAUGUGCCCAGAUGGGAUUAGCUAGUAGGUGGGGUAACGGCUCACCUAGGCGACGAUCCCUAGCUGGUCUGAGAGGAUGACCAGCCACACUGGAACUGAGACACGGUCCAGACUCCUACGGGAGGCAGCAGUGGGGAAUAUUGCACAAUGGGCGCAAGCCUGAUGCAGCCACGCCGCGUGUAUGAAGAAGGCCUUCGGGUUGUAAAGUACUUUCAGCGGGGAGGAAGGGAGUAAAGUUAAUACCUUUGCUCAUUGACGUUACCCGCAGAAGAAGCACCGGCUAACUCCGUG